UCAUAGAGAUACACUAGGCCAUUGGAAGA
rnacentral:piRNA from 1 species